rnacentral:tRNA from 1 species
GGGGGUGUAGCUCAAUUGGUAGAGCAAUGGACUCUUAAUCCAUAGGUUGCGGGUUCGAGACCCUCCACCCUCA